UAGUCAAAAUCAGUCAGUAGGCUAGUUGUGUAUAGGUUUUACUGUUUUACUUCAUUGUUGUAUGCCUGUAUUUAUGUAGAACCGUGGUCCUGUGAGGACUACAUUUCGUUAAGAUCAGAAGA